AGAUAUAUUCUCAAUCCCACUUUGUGUCCCCUUCCUCCCUUAUCACUCCACUGCUUUUCUAGAUAGAAGAGGACAACCUUCCCAGAUAGAGGAGGACCAGUUUUCAGUCAAGGGUAUACAAGUAGCUGUGCUCCCCUGAUAGUACCUCCAAACAAAAUUCACUUUAAACUUCUUUUUCACAUAGUACAAUUUAGAAUACUUAAAUGGGCACUCUAACAAUAUAUGAACCAUCCAAAACCCGCUGUU
rnacentral:snRNA from 1 species